GUGCCAGACCUAAUAGAGAGCUAUUAUGCACGAUAAUACUGGCAACAUAAAUAAAAUGCCUAAAAGAAAUACAUAUUUCACUCGUGCAUUAGGUUGGAUUUUAGCAAUUGUUGCGAAGAUAAUAUUUUGAAAGUUAUAAUCGUAUUGUGCAAGACAAGGCGCGCUUUUUUUAAAGGUCUGUCUCGAAUUCGUCGUCAAUGUCAUCAUCUAAAAACUCCUCUUCCUCAACAUCAUUGUCGUCAUCAAUAUCUACAUUCGUGUUUGCAGUACACGACCAUACAUCUGUGUACUUCACUCCUGCUUUGUUACAUGAACAACGUUGGGAGUUACAGCCACGUUGCAGCCAGUCUUACAACCACAAUGAACGUUAUCAAGUAGGGAAUUCGGCGCUAGGGGAAUGGUCAUCCAUACGAUUUCAGACUUGCAGUUUCCCGUCACUCGUUUGCCACCCAUUUUCAUCCGGAGGAGUAAUAUCCAUUUGUGGUUGUAAACGGAAAGGCCAAAGCACGGCUUGGUACAAAAAUACCACUGAGUACAACCUACGAGGACAACCUACGAGCACAAGCUACGAGGAGACAAACUUAGGAGGCAUAGCCUACCGAAGUAGGUUGACAAGCUACAAUCUACCAGACAACUAUCUUGGCUUCUGUGCCAUAACUAUCUUUUGGCUUCUGUGCCUUUAAUCUAUUGGAAAACAAUUGUGAGUCAUCGUUGGACUCACGAACGCUCAAGAAUAAAGACUCGCGUUUGUACUCAGACAGGGAGAUAAGUUUUACUCAUACUUAUUGAUAUUAUUAUUAAGACACUCAUCUACUUUAAUAUUUACGCUUUAUUAAUAAAUUGUUUGAGAAAUAUAACUGGUUCACACUAUCUUUGUUGCGUGUGGAAAUAGAACCAAAAUUAAUAGUUAUUCUUUCGGGACCACGCACGUAACACAUAGGUUGUGAUGAUUGUUAAUCUUCAGUUAAGGCUUUAUGCUCAAGAUCAUGUUUUACAGUUCAAGAAAGAAUAUUUUUCAGUGUUGUAAAUUGUCAUGUUAUGUUGUGUAGAGUGUGAAUAUACCAUAUGAUAUAAACUGUAAAAUGUUAAGUCAUAUAUUACUAGACAAAUACGUAUAUAGUCACUAAACUGUGGUUUCAGUGGAAAUCCUGUACGUAAAUUCAAAAUACUUAGGAACACUUUUUCUACCCAAUGUGGCAUUGCGGUAGGAUGUAGGUAAUGACGGUACUCUAUAAACGGAAUGGCGUGUUGCAAGUCAUGCAAACGCCCAAAAUCAUAUCCUAAUAAUUAUAAUAUAAAUAAGAGCUUGCAAGCGUUGGUUCGGCAUUCGGAAAAACAGACGUUGUUAGACGUACAGAAGUGAUAAGUUGGAAGUCGUAUCGCAGGAGGCGAUAGCGUUUGAAUAAGUUUCAAGUUUAAAGAUUGACGGUUGGCCGUAAUCUCAACGUUUCAAUAACAUAUUUGUGUCGCAAAGAACCAACGUUUGGAACUCCGUAUCAUAAAUCGUGCACAAACCACUGUAAAUAUCCUAUCAAGUGUUAAAUACAAUUGUCAAAAUACA